ensembl:lncRNA
CAUGAAGUUGUUGCGAGCCGUUUAUUCCCGCUUCAGGUGCUUCGCUGUUGCGCGCGCUGAUUUUCUGAGAGAUUUACAUCAGACGGAGCCCGGUGUUGUUCCGGUUUGUUCCCGCUUCAGCGGCCUUCAGUCAGCGCGCGGUCACAGGGUCCAGAUUUAUAUCAGAAGAAAAGUCUCCAAGCACUGCAGCGGACUUCUGAUAUACCAGAGACAGUCUUGGAGGAGAAAUGGUCAGAUAGCAAAAGUUGCCAUUCUUUUGGAAAACUGCUGGUCUUUAAAGAACAGUCAUCAAUCAGGAUCCUCUGUUCCCAGACCCAACCAUUCAUCUGAAGGACUGUGAAAAUAUGAACCCUUUGAACCACCGGUGACAGUUUCCACAUGAUGAAUAGAAAGGACAUGGCAGAGGAUGAUGGGGGUAUUGAUUUUUCACUGAAAUUAAAUAUCAUUUAAUAACAUUUAGUCUGCUAGUCAGAAUUAUAGCUGAUUAAAUAAAAAUAAAUAGUGGUUCA